AGCCUAAACCUUUGGAAACAAAGGCAUGGUGAAAGAAAACUGCAACAGUAAUAAAGAACCCAUCAUAUGGGGCACUGUUGCAGUCAUAUCGGGAAACCGAUAUGGGGAGCGAAAGCUCUC
rnacentral:sRNA from 1 species